CAACCCCAUCCUGACCAAGCUGGAGGCACACUUCAGGCAAUGUGAUGAAGACACUGGUUUCACCUCCUCCAUAAAACAGAAGGUCUGGGGUAAUCUGCAGAACAGAUACCAGGAUGAAAACCUUCAGAAGUUUCUGAAGGAGGCCACACUGAUGGACCCACAUUUUAAAGGCAGGCUAGAUGAAGGUGAGGCUGCUGACGUCUGGGACAGGUUGGAGAAGGCAGCAGUGGCAAAUGCCACAGCAGCAGUUGCACAGCCUCCUAUAGAGUGCCCUCAGGCAGACUGUGAGGUUGAUGUCGAUGAGAUGGACAAGCCAGAAAAACGUCCAAGAAAGGUCCAGAAGUCUGCCUUGGAAAAGCUGUUU